UGUGCCAGCAGCCGCGGUAAUACGUAGGUGGCAAGCGUUAUCCGGAAUUAUUGGGCGUAAAGCGCGCGUAGGCGGUUUUUUAAGUCUGAUGUGAAAGCCCACGGCUCAACCGUGGAGGGUCAUUGGAAACUGGAAAACUUGAGUGCAGAAGAGGAAAGUGGAAUUCCAUGUGUAGCGGUGAAAUGCGCAGAGAUAUGGAGGAACACCAGUGGCGAAGGCGACUUUCUGGUCUGUAACUGACGCUGAUGUGCGAAAGCGUGGGGAUCAAACAGGAUUAGAUACCCUGGUAGUCCACGCCGUAAACGAUGAGUGCUAAGUGUUAGGGGGUUUCCGCCCCUUAGUGCUGCAGCUAACGCAUUAAGCA
rnacentral:rRNA from 1 species